rnacentral:rRNA from 1 species
AUUGAACGCUGGCGGCAGGCCUAACACAUGCAAGUCGAGCGGAUGAAGGGAGCUUGCUCCUGGAUUCAGCGGCGGACGGGUGAGUAAUGCCUAGGAAUCUGCCUGGUAGUGGGGGAUAACGUCCGGAAACGGGCGCUAAUACCGCAUACGUCCUGAGGGAGAAAGUGGGGGAUCUUCGGACCUCACGCUAUCAGAUGAGCCUAGGUCGGAUUAGCUAGUUGGUGGGGUAAAGGCCUACCAAGGCGACGAUCCGUAACUGGUCUGAGAGGAUGAUCAGUCACACUGGAACUGAGACACGGUCCAGACUCCUACGGGAGGCAGCAGUGGGGAAUAUUGGACAAUGGGCGCAAGCCUGAUCCAGCCAUACCGCGUGUGUGAAGAAGGUCUUCGGAUUGUAAAGCACUUUUGGUUGGAAAGAAAAGCAGUAAGUUAAUACCUUGCUGUUCUGACGUUACCAACAGAAUAAGCACCGGCUAACUUCGUG